AGAGAGAGAGAGAGAGAGAGAGAGAGAGAGAGAGAGAGAGAGAGAGAGAGAGAGAGAGAGAGAGAGAGAGUGAGUGAAGGAACGAGCUCUGGCCACCACCGUUCACCUUUUCCGUAGCCGGCUCCUAUUCCGGCCAAAUCCGGCCAAAAUUUUUACACCAUCCUCUUCCUCUCCUCAUGGGCUUUCUAUCCAUAUAAGCUUCAUAAUUUAAUUUCACUUAUGUGAAACGAAUCGAAGGAGAGAAGGUUUGAUCAUUCUCGGCUAAUUUCCCGAUUUUCGGCCAAACCGUCGACUUUUUGGAGAAACCCCAAGGUAUAAAGUGGUUCAAAAUCUCAUGGGCUUUCUUUUGAGUAUAAUCUUGCAUAUAUAUUUGAAGAUUUUGGAAGUUGGGAUUCUAGCCACCAUGAGCCACCGCGGCUCCGCCAUCUCCGGCGGCCUUUCAUGGCCAUUUUGAGUGUUUUUUAGCAUUAUUAUGUUUCCUAGGAUGUGUUAUUACUAGUCCAAGUAUAAGUUGUUGAAUUUUGGAUGAGAAAUUAGAAUUUGGUGUUGGGAAUAAAUUGGGAAAAAUGGUUUUUGGAGGUGUUGGAGUUGGAGAGAAGCUAGUGGAAGAGACUUAAGAUGAUUAUUUGAUGAUAGGAAGACUUGGGUGACAUUAUGUCAAAGAGAGGAUACGAUUUGUUAGGAUGCAUUCACAUUUCUUUACUUAGUUUAUCGGAAUUGAGCUUAAUUUAUUUAUAAAUUAUUAUUAGCUAGGAUUAAUUAUUAUUAGCUAGGUAAUCCAGUUGAGCAAGCUUCCAAGGACAUUCCCAAGACGGGACUCACCUAGUCACCUUUCAUUGUUAGCGUUGCAGAGGUCGGAUCAAUAUCCACGUCAAAGGCAUGCAUCCACUUGAUCUUCUGACAUCAGUCGUAUAGCUUACUUAGUAGUAGUUCUUAUAUUAAUUAGAGGAGCUUUGAGAUACCAUAAGUAAAUUGAGGUCUAUUGAAAUUGCAUGUAAAUAUUAGACGAGACACUUUGUUUUAUCUAUUCAUUGAUGGUUAGUGACAAUUGAUAUUGUGAGAGACAAGGGGUCAUAUUUGGGAGUUAUUGGAGAUUUAUGAUAGUAGAAGUGUAUUGUUGAUUUACAGGUUUUUGGAUAGUCUAUUUUUAGGGGAGGUUAUGUCGAAUUUUCGAAUAAACCUUUCUCUAACUUGGUCUAUAUGGAUCCACCUCGGAUUCCACCUUGGAAUUCGGGAGCGGGUCUGACAUUGGAUAUAUACUAAGAUUCUUCGAGAUUCUCUCUAAUACAAACCUUACUACAAUUAGAGCAAGUAACUUAGAGUUUGGUCCAAACACAAUCUAGAUUUACUUAAAUAGUUUUUGGUUUUUUGUAAUUUUCUUUUUGUUCUUCUUUAUAAAAAGAGGUAAAAAUGUAUUAAAAAAAGUUACAAAAAAUUGAGGUGUGCAUUAAGUAAUUUGGUAUGUGUGAAUAAAAUUCUGAGGUCUCCGUAAAAUCUUCACAAUUAACGAGAACAAGUGCACAACCAACCUUGAUCUUAAGCUUGAACUCAGGGUUCUCUACAUCUCUUCUCCUCUCUUUCCCAAAUUGCCCUCCUCCACCACUCCCAAUCCCCCGUCAGCUUGAUAACGACUUGAAGAAAAAAAAGAUGACCGCUACUAGUCCGAUUUGAACCCCCACUAAAGUGACUAAACUAAACAAGUGAAUGAAUGGUGGGCUUACCCGAUUGAGGCUUCGGUCCAGCAAAGAAACCAAUGGCCUCGUCGAAGUUUCUUCCGGGGAAAUUGGGUCAAGGUCACUGUUGUUUUCUUGGGCCUUUUCAGUUCUGACCUAAAACAGAAAAAGGCUUCUAUUUUUUUGCUGCCGUUGCUCUGCUUCACAGGUAUACAAUCCUUUAUGAUUUUUCAGUUAAUUAUGAUAUCAAGCUGAUGUCUUUGUGCUUUUUGGGUUAUUGUUAUGAUGAAAUAGCUAGCUGUAUUGCUAUAAUAUCAAGCUAGCUAUGAUAUAACAAUAUAUAAUAUGCACUGGAUGAUGCAAAGAAAAAUUUGGAAUUUUGAAUCCAUUUCUUUUCUUCAUUUUUUCUUCUAAUUUUCAAAUAUUGACUUGUAUAAAUUGCAUGUAGUAGUCUAACCAAAGCGUUUGUUAUAGGCGGUAAUGCUUCCUUUCUACCAUCAGAACCGAUUUUUUUGUUCUUCCUCUUUGGUAGGAAGAGGAGGAUUAGCAAGCUUAGUCGAUUAAUAUUGUCUUCUCUUUAUGAGAGUGUGACUGUAUUUAAGUUCUUAUGUGCAGCUUUAAGUUGAGUAAUAAGUUUCAGUUUUCACCAGUUAGUAAACUCAAUCUUUAUUUUGUUCAUGUGUUCAAUCUUUGAGGAUAUGCAGAGCUAACCAGAAAUGAACAAGUUUGAUAAAACAUUAAGCUAAAAAAUGUGCUUUUGCCAACUUUUGAAGUGGGUAGGUAAUUGAGGUUGACCCUAGCGUUGGUGUAGCUGACUCAUGCCAUGAAAAAAAGGAAAAGAGAGAAGCAAGAGAAAUUGGUGUGGUUGAAUGUUGAUGACUUGAGGACUGAGGCGUCUCUUAAACUUUGUGGCUGUAGGUGCAUGUUUUUCAAAAUUUCAUCAAUUUACUUGAAGAUAACUGAAACUACUUGAGAUAGGUGAGAUUUUAUGGAAUUACUUCUGCUAAUUGUUACAGUCUCUGUUCUUAUGUUUAUAAAAGAAAGGGAAAAAGAUGUUUACUAGUUACUACAAUGCUCAAGGGAAAAAGACAAACCAGCAGCAUCGUGCAGGUGAGUUGCCUAGUUGAAAUGAUAACUGAUAUUACUUCUUCCAACCCCUAAAUCAUUCAUCCGUUCACACUUGAAAUACUUGAAUCUCAGAGAGGAGUUUUAUGUAUGAUUAGUAAAGACAUUCAAGUCUGCAGUGGUCUAAUAUUGUUUCUUUCAAGUCUUUGGGGCUAUGGACAAAAUAAAUUUGCUUGCAUGAGAUAGUUAUGGAGAUGAUAAUAUUGGUUAUGGAAAUAGCAGAAAGGCUUGCAAGCACUCUUCUGUGGAGGAAAUUGGGAGGUCAGGUCUUUUAAGUUAUGAUGAUCGCAGUCCUCCGACAAGAUGAUUCCUGGCCCUCUGGUACUCUUUAUGCUGUGCAGAAUUUCUGGAUACAAAUUUCCACUACCCUUAGGUUGUGCGGUACAGGGAAAAUUGCAUCAGCUCCCACAUUCACUGCUCAGAUUUAAGCUAAAAGCAGCAUCGACAAUGUCAUUGGAAUUCAAGCUGAUGGGUUGAAACAUACUCUGGUAAGCUACACAGAUCUAAUAAUAACUUGAAGUUUCUUGGUUUAUAAUUUUGAUUAUCACAUGAAUGAAGGAGUGUAAGUAUAGUCUCUGAGUUAAAUUUGAAAUUGCA